GACGAACGCUGGCGGCGUGCUUAACACAUGCAAGUCGAACGGAAAGGCCCUGCUUUUGUUGGGUGCUCGAGUGGCGAACGGGUGAGUAACACGUGAGUAACCUGCCCUUUACUUUGGGAUAACUUCAGGAAACUUGGGCUAAUACCGGAUAGGAGCUCCUGCUGCAUGGUGGGGGUUGGAAAGUUUCGGCGGUUGGGGAUGGACUCGCGGCUUAUCAGCUUGUUGGUGGGGUAGUGGCUUACCAAGGCUUUGACGGGUAGCCGGCCUGAGAGGGUGACCGGCCACAUUGGGACUGAGAUACGGCCCAGACUCCUACGGGAGGCAGCAGUGGGGAAUAUUGCACAAUGGGCGGAAGCCUGAUGCAGCAACGCCGCGUGCGGGAUGACGGCCUUCGGGUUGUAAACCGCUUUAGCCUGUGACGAAGCGUGAGUGACGGUAAUGGGUAAAGAAGCACCGGCUAACUACGUG
rnacentral:rRNA from 1 species